rnacentral:tRNA from 1 species
GGGAUUGUGGCUCAGUAGUAGAAUAUGUGCUUGGAAUGCAGAAGGUCCCAAGUUCAAUCCCUGGCAUCUCCA